GAGUAACAGGUGGGUAACGUACCUCGAUGUGAGGAAUAACUCCUGGAAACAGGGGCUAAUACCGCAUGUGACGUCAGGUCCUUCGGGACUUGCCGUGAAAGGCAGGGACUUCGGUCUUUGCCGCAUUGAGAUCGGCCCGCUUCCCAUUAGCUUGUUGGUGGGGUAAUGGCCUACCAAGGCAACGAUGGGUAGGUGGCCUGAGAGGGUGGUCACCCACACUGGGACUGAGAUACGGCCCAG
rnacentral:rRNA from 1 species